rnacentral:rRNA from 1 species
UCGCCUACGGGGGGCAGCAGUGAGGAAUAUUGGUCAAUGGACGCAAGUCUGAACCAGCCAAGUAGCGUGCAGGAUGACGGCCCUCCGGGUUGUAGACUGCUUUUAGUUGGGAAUAAAAGGGGGCUCGUGAGCCCCGAAUUGUAUGUACCAUCAGAAAAAGGACCGGCUAAUUACGUGCCAGCAGCAGCGGUAAUACGGCAGGUCCGGGCGUUAUCCGGAUUUAUUGGGUUUAAAGGAAGCGUAGGCCGGCUUGUAAGUCAGCUGUGAAAGUACGCGGCUGAGCCG